AUGGAUAACCAAUCCAUUUUCCAAUAUAGUUGGGAAAUUUUACCCAAGAAAUGGCAUAAAAUGAAAAGAUCUGAACAUGGGAAUAGAUCUUAUACCAAUACUGACUACCCAUUUCCAUUGUUUAGCUUUCUAAAAUGGCAUACCUAUACAAGGGUUCAAGUUUCGAUCGAUAUUUGCGGAGUGGAUCAUCCCUCUCGAAAACAAAGAUUUGAAGUUGUCCAUAAUUUACUGAGUACUCGGUAUAACUCACGCAUUAGUGUACAAACAAGUGCAGACGAAGUAAGACGAAUAUCUCCGGUAGUCAGUCUAGUUCCAUCAGCCGGCCGGUGGGGGCGAGAAGUAUGGGAUAUGUCUGGUGUUUCUUCCAUAAACCAUCCGGAUUUACGCCGUAUAUCAACAGAUUAUGGUUUCGAGGGUCAUCCAUUAUGAAAAGACUUUCCUCUGAGUGGAUAUGCGGAAGUACGCUAUGAUGAUCCAGAGAAACGUGUGGUUUCUGAACCCAUUGAGAUGACCCAAGAAUUUCGCUAUUUUGAUUUUGCUAGUCCUUGGGAACAGCGUAGCGACGGAUAA
rnacentral:rRNA from 1 species